rnacentral:rRNA from 1 species
GACGAACGCUGGCGGCGUGCUUAACACAUGCAAGUCGAACGGAAAGGCCCUGCUUUUGUGGGGUGCUCGAGUGGCGAACGGGUGAGUAACACGUGAGUAACCUGCCCUUGACUUUGGGAUAACUUCAGGGAACUGGGGCUAAUACCGGAUAGGAGCUCCUGCUGCAUGGUGGGGGUUGGAAAGUUUCGGCGGUUGGGGAUGGACUCGCGGCUUAUCAGCUUGUUGGUGGGGUAGUGGCUUACCAAGGCUUUGACGGGUAGCCGGCCUGAGAGGGUGACCGGCCACAUUGGGACUGAGAUACGGCCCAGACUCCUACGGGAGGCAGCAGUGGGGAAUAUUGCACAAUGGGCGGAAGCCUGAUGCAGCAACGCCGCGUGCGGGAUGACGGCCUUCGGGUUGUAAACCGCUUUCGCCUGUGACGAAGCGUGAGUGACGGUAAUGGGUAAAGAAGCACCGGCUAACUACGUGCCAGCAGCCGCGGUGAUACGUAGGGUGCGAGCGUUGUCCGGAUUUAUUGGGCGUAAAGGGCUCGUAGGUGGUUGAUCGCGUCGGAAGUGUAAUCUUGGGGCUUAACCCUGAGCGUGCUUUCGAUACGGGUUGACUUGAGGAAGGUAGGGGAGAAUGGAAUUCCUGGUGGAGCGGUGGAAUGCGCAGAUAUCAGGAGGAACACCAGUGGCGAAGGCGGUUCUCUGGGCCUUUCCUGACGCUGAGGAGCGAAAGCGUGGGGAGCGAACAGGCUUAGAUACCCUGGUAGUCCACGCUGUAAACGGUGGGUACUAGGUGUGGGGUCCAUUCCACGGGUUCCGUGCCGUAGCUAACGCUUUAAGUACCCCGCCUGGGGAGUACGGCCGCAAGGCUAAAACUCAAAGGAAUUGACGGGGCCCCGCACAAGCGGCGGAGCAUGCGGAUUAAUUCGAUGCAACGCGUAGAACCUUACCUGGGUUUGACAUGGAUCGGGAGCGCUCAGAGAUGGGUGUGCCUCUUUUGGGGUCGGUUCACAGGUGGUGCAUGCCUGUCGUCAGCUCGUGUCGUGAGAUGUUGGGUUAAGUCCCGCAACGAGCGCAACCCUUGUUCACUGUUGCCAGCACGUUAUGGUGGGGACUCAGUGGAGACCGCCGGGGUCAACUCGGAGGAAGGUGGGGAUGACGUCAAGUCAUCAUGCCCCUUAUGUCCAGGGCUUCACGCAUGCUACAAUGACUGGUACAGAGAGUGGCGAGCCUGUGAGGGUGAGCGAAUCUCGGAAAGCCGGUCUCAGUUCGGAUUGGGGUCUGCAACUCGACCUCAUGAAGUCGGAGUCGCUAGUAAUCGCAAAUCAGCAACGCUGCGGUGAAUACGUUCCCGGGGCU